rnacentral:rRNA from 1 species
UACAGAGGUCUCAAGCGUUAUCCGGAUUUACUGGGUUUAGAGGGUGCGUAGGUGGGCAGGUAAGUCAGUGGUGAAAUCUCCGGGCUUAACCCGGAAACUGCCAUUGAUACUAUCUGUCUUGAAUAUCCUGGAGGUAAGCGGAAUAUGUCAUGUAGCGGUGAAAUGCUUAGAUAUGACAUAGAACACCCAUUGCGAAGGCAGCUUACUACGGGAUUAUUGACACUGAGGCACGAAAGCGUGGGGAUCAAACAGG